GACAGAGGGUGCAAACGUUGCUCGGAUUUACUGGGCGUAAAGCGCGUGUAGGCGGGCGACUAAGUCGGAUGUGAAAUCCCUGGGCUCAACCUAGGAACUGCAUUCGAAACUGGUCACCUGGAGUGAUGGAGAGGAAAGCGGAAUUCCCGGUGUAGAGGUGAAAUUCGUAGAUAUCGGGAGGAACACCAGUGGCGAAGGCGGCUUUCUGGACAUUUACUGACGCUGAGACGCGAAAGCGUGGGGAGCAAACAGG
rnacentral:rRNA from 1 species